rnacentral:rRNA from 1 species
GUCGAGCGAACAGACGAGGAGCUUGCUCCUCUGACGUUAGCGGCGGACGGGUGAGUAACACGUGGAUAACCUACCUAUAAGACUGGGAUAACUUCGGGAAACCGGAGCUAAUACCGGAUAAUAUAUUGAACCGCAUGGUUCAAUAGUGAAAGACGGUUUUGCUGUCACUUAUAGAUGGAUCCGCGCCGCAUUAGCUAGUUGGUAAGGUAACGGCUUACCAAGGCAACGAUGCGUAGCCGACCUGAGAGGGUGAUCGGCCACACUGGAACUGAGACACGGUCCAGACUCCUACGGGAGGCAGCAGUAGGGAAUCUUCCGCAAUGGGCGAAAGCCUGACGGAGCAACGCCGCGUGAAUGAUGAAGGUCUUCGGAUCGUAAAACUCUGUUAUUAGGGAAGAACAAAUGUGUAAGUAACUAUGCACGUCUUGACGGUACCUAAUCAGAAAGCCACGGCUAACUACGUGCCAGCAGCCGCGGUAAUACGUAGGUGGCAAGCGUUAUCCGGAAUUAUUGGGCGUAAAGCGCGCGUAGGCGGUUUUUUAAGUCUGAUGUGAAAGCCCACGGCUCAACCGUGGAGGGUCAUUGGAAACUGGAAAACUUGAGUGCAGAAGAGGAAAGUGGAAUUCCAUGUGUA